UCGCCUGUUUAUCAAAAACAUCUCCUCUUGAAAUUAUAAGAGGUAGGCCCUGCCCGGUGCUUUGGUUAACGGCGGCUAUGGCUUUAAUGUAGCAUAAUUUCUUGCCCUUUAAUUGGGGGUUGGAGGAAUGGGUUGACGUGGGAGAUCUGUCUCCUGAGCAGUUUGUAGAAAUUUUCUUCUCAGUGAAAAGCCUGAGAUGGGUUUAAAAGACGAGAAGACCCUGUCGAGCUUAAUAGUUAUUAGUUUAUAACUAAUGAGAAGUUUAGUUGGGGCAACUCUGGAGAAAUCAAAACCUCUAGACUUAGAAGGAUCCAUCGUUGAUGACAAUAGAAGAAGUUACCGCAGGGAUAACAGCGCGUCGCCCCCUGAGAGUCCUUAUCGAAGGGGGAAUGUGCGACCUCGAUGUUGGAUUAAAAUUGCUCACUGGUGCAGCAGCCAGAAGAGUGGGUCUGUUCGUCCCUUAAAAUUUUACAUGAUCUGAGUUCAAACCGGAGA
rnacentral:rRNA from 1 species